CUUUAACGGAGAGUUUGAUCCUGGCUCAGGACGAACGCUGGCGGCGUGCCUAAUACAUGCAAGUCGAGCGGACUUGAUGGAGUGCUUGCACUCCUGAUGGUUAGCGGCGGACGGGUGAGUAACACGUAGGUAACCUGCCCAUAAGACUGGGAUAACCCACGGAAACGUGAGCUAAUACCAGAUAGGCAUUUUCCUCGCAUGAGGGAGAUGAGAAAGGCGGAGCAAUCUGCCACUUAUGGAUGGACCUGCGGCG
rnacentral:rRNA from 1 species